UAACCAUCAAUAUGCUAAAAGCUAUGGAGUUACAGAGGCUUGUAGGAGGCACCAUUGCUUUUAGUGCUUAAUUGGGAAGACACAGAUAAUGUAAAAUAACUAGAAACCACUUAGCAGUCUUAAGUGCCAAAUAAUGUAUACAUUUUAGAUACUGUGGGAUCAUUUUUCUUAAGUGAUGGUCUUCAGAGUUCUGUCCUCCCUCCUAUUUUCAUGACUUUAAUUUCACAUCUCUAUUUCUAGCCCACAUCUCCCUCAAAAGUAUAGGUUUGUCCAGAUGCCCCUUGGACAUUUCUGUGUAGACAUUAUCAUAAGCAGUUCAACUUCAAUUUCUUUAAAACUGAGUCAAUGGUGUUACUGUCAUCCAUUGUCCAAGGUGGAAACUGGCAGUCGUUCUUGCUUUUCUUUCUCUUGUUUCUUCACUAUAUGUUUUGUUGGCAUUGUUUCCCAAUUGUCUUUCAGAGCCAUCCACUCUUUUGAUUUGCUCUGCCACCAUCUUAAUUGCCCAGCCUGGUCUUGAACUUGUGAUUACAGGUGAUCCUCCUGCUUCAGCCUCCCAAGUAGUCGGGACUAUAGGUACUGGUGUUUGAACUCAGGGCCUCACACUUGCUAGAAAAGAUGAAAAGGAAUAUGCACUGAAGCAAAUUGAAGGCACAGGGAUAUCCAUGUCGGCUUGUAGAGAGAUUGCAGUAAGUGGAUAUUUAUAGUUACUUAUUUUAUUAUUGAUACUGAGUGAAGAUUUAGUUUGAUAUGAAAAUUUCAGUAAUUAUGCAGUUUAUGGCUACUUCAAAGAUGUUAAUUAGCUUAAGGAUAUUCUAUGCAAGAUGGGAAAUUUGCAUAGACUUUACAUUACUUGAA